rnacentral:rRNA from 1 species
UACGAAGGGAGCUAGCGUUGUUCGGAAUCACUGGGCGUAAAGCGCACGUAGGCGGAUUUGUCAGUCAGGGGUGAAAUCCCGGGGCUCAACCUCGGAACUGCCUUUGAUACAGCAAGUCUUGAGUUCGAGAGAGGUGGGUGGAAUUCCUAGUGUAGAGGUGAAAUUCGUAGAUAUCGGGAGGAACACCAGUGGCGAAGGCGGCGAUCUGGGCUGAUACUGACGCUGAGGUGCGAAAGCGUGGGGAGCAAACAGG